rnacentral:lncRNA from 1 species
CCAAGGAAAAUAAUUUUUAUUCUAUUCAUUAAAAAAUACAUUCAUAUAUAUAUAUAUAUAUACAUAUGUGUGAGUGUGUAUGUAUACAUACAUACACAUACAAUAUUUCAAGAUAUAUUUAUUGUUUCUAUAACAUAUAAAAAUACUACAUCAUAAAAAAAAAAGGAACAAUAUAGUUUUAAUAUUUACAAUAUUUGCUUUGCCUUUUUUUCUUUUUGUUUUCCAUAUUUUUUUUUUUCUUCAAGCUAAUAGAGUUGGCUUUAACUUUACUCAGAGUAUAAGCUUCUAACUGAGAUCUUGUUCAUAAAGAAUCUGUAUUUGUAGCCCCAGGAGUUGAGGAGAGAAUCUCAAGAAAAAAACAAAACACCAUCACUAAGACCACAGUCCUAAAAUCUUAUUUCUUAGAAAAAGUGAUAUGAUUUUUUUUUUUCAUAAAUAUAUUUUUCAAAAUACAAUAAAAUAAGUGUCUGGAUUACAGGUUAAACAUCAUUCCUAAAAUAGAGUCAGAACCCUUUUUUUUUUUUUUUUAAUUCUGUUCCUAGUUCUGUAUUUUCAUUCCUUUCUGUCACAUUUAAUUUUUUUUUAACCCUUUAGCAUUUAAACUGGCCAUUUCUGGCCUAAAUAUUGUUUUAUGUUUUAUGUUCAAACCAGCCAGAUCAGGUCUCUUACACUACCCCUACAAUGUCGUUCUAAAAAUAAACAAUCACAUCAUCAGAAUCUCAAAGCCUCAAGAUAAUGCAUGAUUAAUUCAAAACAACUGGAAUAAAUAAACACCACAUUCGACAGAGUAAUCCGAGUGGCUAAAAGGGUUAAUCCUUUUCUCAUGAAAUACACCAGUUUUUAGCUAAUUUUAUAAAACAAUCAAGAAUUUGGCAGGAUUUAGCAAAAUUUUUUUCCAUUUAUUAAUAUUAUAUAUAUUUUAUGCUUAGAAUUGUGAAAACAUGGAAUAAACCAUAUGUGUUGGUUGUUAGCUGCCAGGAUACUGAAUCUUUUGAAAAUUCCAACACUUUCUGAAAUUUACACUAUUCCUGAUGUACCUAGGCACAUUUGCCCUUUUUGUGGCCCAUUUCCUGUUCAUUUUGAUUUUAUUCUGUAUUGAGUACUUCUUGCUUUCAUUGCUGUCUUUCUUUACUUACAGCUGCUCUCUGUCCUCUCUUACCUUUUCCCAAUAAUUUGCAAUGCACCUGAGCAUUACUUACAAAAUUGGAAAGCAACAGAAGUGCCCAUGAUUUUUGGAAACAUUUUUUCCAUGCCCAGGAUUGCUGAAGCAUGGAAUAAACUGCUGGCAUCGGUUGUUGGGACAUUACAUUCUGCAAAACUUCCAGGCUUCCUGAAAUUCAACAACAGUACACCUGACGCCCCACCUUUAUUUUUAAACGACUCGUUUACCGUUCCCUUCCUGUGAAUUAUUCUAUGCACUCUGCAUGCACUUUUGGUUACCAUUUCCUGAUGACUUGUAGUGCAGCACCCGAGCACUGUAUACGAUAAGUUCCUUAUUCAUUGUAUACAAUAGACUCAUUAUCAUUUAAGGUCCAUGUUCCAUGGUGGCACAGGAUGGACAGUUUGACAAAAUCCAAUGAGUCCAAUGACUGCAAUGUGCUCCACUUUCUACUUUGGAACAACCCCCAAAGCUGGAGAUCUUCCCAACACCAAAUAAUUUACACCUUGUAUUGCGUGCUUUUUUUCAUGUCACCAGCACUAGCUAACAUGACUAUGAACCCUGAAAGAGGCAGCUUUAUGCUAGGAGAUGAGGGUGGCUAAAAUAUGAGGGAAGGGGCCAAAGCAAAACAGGUCUCUUGCUGUAGAGGAAGAAGUACACGAUAAACUCAUUAUUACAAUUUGUGUAAAAUUAUGAUGGCAGGUUUAACCCUUUAGCUUUUCAACUGACCAUUUUCAGCCCAUAUAUUCUCUCUGUUUUAUAUUGAAACUGGCCACAUCUGGCCAUUCACACCUACCCCACAAUGUUAUUCUAAAAACAAACAAUCACAUCUUAUUGUAAUCUUGAAGCUUCAAGAUAAUUCAGGAUUAAUUCAGAACAAUGGAAAUGUGUGAGUAUUGCAUUUGACAGAAUAAUCUGAAUGCUUGAGGGUUAACAUAAAUAUGAACACUCUAAAACGGGGUUGUUGUUUCUAUAAGGGAACCAUAAGCAGUCUCAUAAGUAUGUUGGUAUCAAAAGGGUUUGGCUAAUUCAUAGGAAAAUAUGUCUUUUAUGAAUUGAAAUUUUCUCCGUGAUGGUAAAAUGUAAAGAUAUCUAAAAAUUACUUCUCACAUGAUGUAUUCUGAGGUGGGAUGGUGAAGCUUUAUAUUGAUGGCAUUAACAUUAUCAAGACAUUAUCAUACGCAUGGUGAGCAGCAAGAAUCAGAACAAUGACCGGCAUAUUUAGUCUUAAAACAUUCAGGCAGAUUCAAAUGUAAAUAUGCUAAUUUCGUGGUGUUUCAUCAGAGGUGAAGAGCUCCUCCUAUUAAUUACUGGUAGGGACACCGUAUUUUGUUAUGCAACCAUAAUAUUCUACCAAAUAUAUUAAAUGUUUAUAAGUCAAUCCUGUAUCCUACCUGUGUUAGCAGUGCAAAUCAGUCACUUUUAAGUUAUCUCUACUGACUUUCUACAGAAACUAGAGCCAGCACUGAAAGUUACGAUGUUUCAUAUACGAAUACGUCUAUGUAUAAACAAUGUGAUCGAAGAUGGAAAAAUGAGUAAUUGGUGUAUAUGGAUAUUUCAGGAGUUCUUGCUCCUUCUUCAGUAUCACAUCCAACCAAUUAACCGUCCAUGAACACAUUGCUUAAAUAACCCCUAAUAUUUAGCUGUGUAACACAAUUGGAUUUAUUAAUCUUACAUAUUAAACACGUUCCUGGCAACUGGUAUGUACUUAUUAAUUGUGGGUGAGUUGGGGCACAGUAUUUUGCUCUGCAACCAUAAAUAUUCUACCAAGUAUAUUAAAGGCUUACUAGUCGAAACUUUAAAAAGCUUCUCCCAUAUGACAAACGUUUGUUUGCAAGAUACACAUAGGCACAGGAGUGGCUGUGAGGUAAGUAGCUUGCUUACCAACCACAUGGUUCUGGGUUCAGUCCCACUUUGUGGAGCAACUUGAGUGGAUUUGGAAGACGGAAACUGAAAGAAGCCCAUCAUCUGUGUGUGUGUGUGUGUUAGCAUGGAAAGCGGACGCUAAAUGAUGAUGAUGAUGAUGUGUCUGUCCCUUACCACUAUCACUUGAAAAAACCAAUGUUGGUGUGUUUAUGUCCCCAUAACUUAGUGGUUUGGUAAAGAGACAGAUAGAAUAAGUCCCGGGGUCAAUUUAUUCAACUAAAGUAGCUUGCUAACCAACCACAUGGUUCCGGGUUCAGUCCCACUGCGUGACACCUUGGGCAAGUGUCUUCUACUAUAGCCUUGGGCUGACCAAAGCCUUGUGAGUGAAUUUGGUAGAUGGAAACUGAAAGAAGCCCGUCGUAUAUAUGUAUAUGUGUGCGUGUGUGUGUAUAUGUUUCCCCCCCCCUACAUCGCUUGACAACCGAUGCUGGUGUGUUUACGUCGCUGUAACUUAGCAGUUCGGCAAAAGGGACUGAUAGAAUAAGUACUAGGCUUACAAAGAAUAAGUCCUGGGGUCGAUUUGCUUGACUAAAGGCGGUGCUCCAGCAUGGCCACAGUCAAAUGACUGAAACAAGUAAAAAAAAUAAAAACUGGAUUCAUUGAUGCAACAGACUCUGGUUUGACAGCCAUUGUUUUGACAUUGUUGUGUCUCGUCAGCUUGAGACACC